rnacentral:rRNA from 1 species
CCAAAAAUCUAGCCUAUACCCCCCCCCCCCUUUUUUUUCAACUCCUAAUUAAAAUAUUCUAGCAGUCCAGUAAAGAAGAUUGAAAAACCUUUAAGAGCUAUAAACCUGUACCGCAAGGGAUAGAUGAAAUAAAAAUGAAACAAACCUUAAGCACAAAAAAGUAAAGACUUAAUCUUGUACCUUUUGCAUUAUGGUUUAGCUAGUCUAAUUAGGCAAAAAGAUCUUAAGUCUAACCCCCCGAAACUAAGUGAGCUAAUUUAGGGCUGCUUACUGAGCUAACCCGUCUAUGUUGUAAAAUAGUGGGAAGACCCUAAAAUAGUGGUGAUAAACCUAACGAACUUAGUGAUAGCUGGUUUCUCAAAAAAAGAAUUUUAGUUCUGCCUGAAGUAAUUUUUACAUUAUUAUGUUCCACCCCCUCACCUUCAGAGUUAUUCAAAUGAGGUACAGCCCAUUUGAUACAGGAUACAACCUUCAUUAACGGGUAAAAUUAAUUCACAUCUUUAAGUAGGCCCAAAAGCAGCCAUCUUUUAAAAAGCGUCAAAGCUUAACCGUGUUAAUAAUAAUUUAAAAAUCUAACUUGACCCCUUUAACUAUAUUGAGAACUUCUAUAACAUAUAGAACUUUUUAUGCUAAAACUAAUAACAAGAGGAAAGCCCUCUCCUAAAUGUAAGUGUAAGCCAACAAGAACCCAUCAUUGGCAAUUAACAAACCUAAAAGUAACAACCCACCAAGAAAAUCCUACUUGCCCCACCCGUUAAACUAACACCAGAGCAUUUCAAGAAAGAUUAAAAGAAAAAGAAGGAACUCGGCAAACACUAGUCCCGCCUGUUUACCAAAAACAUCGCCUCUUGCACCCCCCAUAAGAGGUCCAGCCUGCCCAGUGACUUUGUUCAACGGCCGCGGUAUUCUGACCGUGCGAAGGUAGCGUAAUCACUUGUUUUCUAAAUAAAGACCAGUAUGAAAGGCAUCACGAGGAUCAAACUGUCUCCUUUCUCUAAUCAGUGAACCUAAUCUCCCCGUGAAGAAGCGGGGAUUAAAUUAUAAGACGAGAAGACCCUGUGGAGCUUAAAAUAAUAUAACAUCUGCCCCCUACAUUAACUAUCCACGAUUCUUCACCCCACCGGCACUCUGAUUAUAUAUUUUUGGUUGGGGUGACCGCGGAGAAAAACUUAUCCUCCACAAUGAAAGGGGAAUACCCUCAAGCAAUAAAUCACAACUUUAUGCAUCAAAAAAUUGACAUCCAUCGACCCAAUAAGUUGAUCAAUGAACCAAGUUACCCCAGGGAUAACAGCACAAUCCACUUUGAGAGCCCCUAUCGACAAGUGGGCUUAUGACCUCGAUGUUGGAUCGGGGUAUCCUAGUGGUGCAGCCGCUACUAAAGGUUCGUUUGUUCAACGAUUAAAACCCCACGUGAUCUGAGUUCAGACCGGAGUAAUCCAGGUCAGUUUCUAUCUAUACAGCGCUAAUUUCAGUACGAAAGGACCAAAAUAGCACGGCCUAUGUCACAACAAGCCAUAAUUAAUUAUUUAUGGUCUAAGCUCAAAAAAUAAUUAACCUCCCCUCCCCC